rnacentral:misc_RNA from 1 species
AUUUCCACUUCUGCAUUACUGCGUCUUCUUCUUGCACGAAACCUUGCCAGUUACCGGAGCCUCCAUUACCCACCGAGUGGCCGUGAGACACCAAAGCAAACGCAGCCGUCGCCGGUGAUUACAAAGUAUGGACCUGGAUGAUCUUGAUGACCUGGACGGACCAAGCCAAGUCCCUUCACGAACCUCCAAGUUUGCUCCCAAAUCCUCCAAAUUCAAGCCGCAGCCCAAAGAGAAACCAAAACCAGAACCGCCGUCCUUCAAGCCGGAGUCCCAGAACUCAGGUUCAAAUUUUGAACCUCAGGAAUCCGUAUCAGCAGCGAAACUGGAAACUCGAAACGCUAUGUUGGCCAAGAAAAAGGAAAACGGAGAAGAAAUUAAACCUAGAAUGAAUGCGACGCCCAAGAUUGAAAACUUAACCUCG